rnacentral:rRNA from 1 species
UACGGGGGGAGCAAGCGUUGUUCGGAUUUACUGGGCGUAAAGGGCGGGUAGGCGGCCACCGCAAGUCAGUUGUGAAAUCUCUGGGCUUAACCCAGAAAGGUCAACUGAUACUGCGGGGCUAGAGUGCAGAAGGGGCAACUGGAAUUCUCGGUGUAGCGGUGAAAUGCGUAGAUAUCUGGAGGAACACCGGUGGCGAAGGCGGCAUCCUGGACCGGCAUUGACGCUGAGGCGCGAAAGCCAGGGGAGCAAACGGG